CUCCACCGUCAGGAGGUGGAGUCUAUUUUCCCAACCCUUGGAUCCCUGCUGGCCUUGGGAUGCUGGGGGUGUCACCAGAGAAUAGGUUCUUGUCUGGCACAGGAAGGAAUUCAAGAGCGAGGCAUAGUAAAGUGAAAGGAGGCCUUGCAUCUUGCAUCAUGGAACACUGCCGCCACCUGACCCCGCCCGGGUCAGAGUCCACCAGGAUGGGAGACCAUAUGGCGGGAGCCCCCUCCCCACCCCGCAAUUCCUGCCAUCCCACAUGAGGCCCCUGACGUGAGUGAGCGAGCCCUGUCAACCCCAUGCAGAGCAAAGGUGAACCGCCCCAGCUGAGCCCAGGGGCUCCUGCACAGAGGGAUGCAGGUGGGAGGAAGCUGCUAGGUUUCGCGGUGGCUAGUUACUUGGCGAAAGUUACCCGGAAAACUAACCUGCCUUGUUUCCUGCUCAGCCUGGUUCCCCAGCCUUCCCAUCCCUUCUGCAAGCUUCCUAAUUCCUUCCACAAAUCCCUUUUCUGCUUACGUUCACCAGAGUUGGUUUCUGUUGUUUGCAACUUAGAACACUGGCUGCUAUAGAAAUCGGUACUGGAAGUGGAUUUCAGGUACUGGACCCUCAAAGGGUGGACUGAAAACAGAGAACAUACAAUUUGUACACACCCUGCAAAGCGGCUGCAGCUAAAGAGAUUGAGGAAGGGCUGGCGGGGUCUAGCUCAGGGGCAGAGCGCAUGCACGAGGCCUGGGGGUCAAUCCCCAGUACCUCCAUUAACAACAGCAAUAGCUACAGAAAGACUGAGGACAGAGGCGCUGGUUAGGACGUGAAGCCACCGACUCUCACGCACGCUGCCGGGGUGGGGGCGAGCACGCGCUGGGAGGGCGUUCGGCCUUAUCCUCGGGAGCGAAAAGCACGACCCAGCAAGUCCACUCCGAGGCAUACGCCCAAGAGAAGUGAGCCCACACGCCCACCAGAGGACGUCGCAAGAAUGCUCACAGAAACUUUACCCGGACGCCAGAGACACUGGAGGUCGUCCCGAGGCCCGUCAGCUGUAGAGCAGGUCGGUGAAUCGUGGCAAAUUCAGACAACGGAGCUCCGCUUUGCUGCAGGGAGCAGCACGCACGGAUCUCACGGGCCAGACGCCGAGCCAGGCGAGGCUGACGCGGACGGGCACGCACCGCCUGCCUCCUCACGUGAAGUUCAAGGAGGGGAGAGACUAAUCUCCACUGACAGAGUGGUUGACUGAAGACUGGACUCCCUGGUGGCCCAUGAAUUCCUCGAUACAAUGUAGAGAACGGAAUCCAGCAGCCUGGACCCUUGAAGAACGUACUGUGUGCAGUCAGUCUUCAGCCCCUAAUCUGGAAAGACCCAGACAGCUCUCCUGCCCCGAGACCCAGGGAAAUGCACUGUGGACGGAGGUACCAGCCUCUUAGAAAGUGCCCUUGUGGCUUAUCUCUGUAGGUCAGAGAGGGUCCCCACCCCAAGACACUGUCAUUGAAAGGGCUUCCUGAUUGUAAUGGGGAGGAUGUGGCUAGCUGCCCACGAGGUGCUCCGGGCCAGAUAAGCAGCUUGCAAAGCUCUUAUUUGAUUUGUAUCAUUA